AUUGAACGCUAGCGGGAUGCUUUACACAUGCAAGUCGAACGGAGUGGCGGACGGGUGAGUAAUGUAUGGGAACGUGCCCGGUAGCGGGGGAUAACUACUCGAAAGCGUGGCUAAUACCGCAUACUAUUGGAGCGGCCUAUAUCGGAUUAGCUAGUUGGUGGGGUAACGGCUCACCAAGGCAACGAUCCGUAGCUGGUUUGAGAGGAAGAACAGCCACACUGGGACUGAGACACGGCCCAGACUCCUACGGGAGGCAGCAGUGGGGAAUUUUGGACAAUGGGGGAAACCCUGAUCCAGCCAUCCCGCGUGUAUGAUGAAGGCCUUCGGGUUGUAAAGUACUUUUGGCAGAGAGGCGGUAUCCGCAGAAUAAGCACCGGCUAACUACGUGCCAGCAGCCGCGGUAAUUC
rnacentral:rRNA from 1 species